CAGCCGUAAACUAAUGCGCGUUAGGUGUAUCGGUGACCACGAGUUACCGAGGUGCCGAAGGGAAACCGUGAAACGUGCCGCCUGGGAAGUACGGUCGCAAGGCUGAAACUUAAAAGGAAUUGGCGGGGGAGCACCACAACGGGUGGAGCCUGCGGUUUAAAUUGGACUCAACGCCGGGAAGCUCACCGGAUAGGACAGCGGAAUGAUUGCCGGGCUGAAGACUCUGCAUGACUAGCUGAGAGGUGGUGCAUGGCGUAGACGUCU
rnacentral:rRNA from 1 species